rnacentral:rRNA from 1 species
UACGUAGGGGGCAAGCGUUGUCCGGAAUCAUUGGGCGUAAAGCGCGUGUAGGCGGCCCGGUAAGUCCGCUGUGAAAGUCGGGGGCUCAACCCUCGAAUGCCGGUGGAUACUGUCGGGCUAGAGUGCGGAAGAGGCGAGUGGAAUUCCUGGUGUAGCGGUGAAAUGCGCAGAUAUCGGGAGGAACACCAGUGGCGAAGGCAGCUCACUGGGACGGUAUUGACGCUGAGACGCGAAAGCGUGGGGAGCAAACAGG